AGCAGCCGCGGUAAUUCCAGCUCCAAUAGCGUAUAUUAAAGUUGUUGCAGUUAAAAAGCUCGUAGUUGAAUUUCGGGACCAAUCUGCCGGUCGUGCCUCCGGUACGCACUGGCUUUAUUGGUCUCUCCCUUCUGACGAACCAUGAUGUCAUUAAUUUGGUGUCAUGGGGAAUCAGGACUGUUACUUUGAAAAAAAUUAGAGUGUUUAUAGCAGGCUCACGCUUGAAUACAUUAGCAUGGAAUAAUGAAAUAGGACGUUUGACCCUAUUUUGUUGGUUUCUAGGAUCGACGUAAUGAUUAAUAGGGAUAGUUGGGGGCAUUAGUAUUCAAUUGUCAGGGGUGAAAUUCUUGGAUUUAUUGAAGACUAACUACUGCGAAAGCAUUUGCCAAGGAUGUUUUCAUUAAUCAAGAACGAAAGUUAGGGGAUCGAAGACGAUCAGAUACCGUCGUAGUCUUAACCAUAAACUAUGCCGACUAGGGAUCGGAUGAUGUUAAUUUUUUAAUGACUCAUUCGGCGCCUU
rnacentral:rRNA from 1 species